AGUGAACGCUGGCGGUAGGCCUAACACAUGCAAGUCGAACGGCAGCACAGUAAGAGCUUGCUCUUACGGGUGGCGAGUGGCGGACGGGUGAGGAAUACAUCGGAAUCUACUUUUUCGUGGGGGAUAACGUAGGGAAACUUACGCUAAUACCGCAUACGACCUACGGGUGAAAGCAGGGGAUCUUCGGACCUUGCGCGAUUGAAUGAGCCGAUGUCGGAUUAGCUAGUUGGCGGGGUAAAGGCCCACCAAGGCGACGAUCCGUAGCUGGUCUGAGAGGAUGAUCAGCCACACUGGAACUGAGACGCGGUCCAGACUCAUACGGGAGGCAGCAGUGGGGAAUAUUGGACAAUGGGCGCAAGCCUGAUCCAGCCAUACCGCGUGGGUGAAGAAGGCCUUCGGGUUGUAAAGCCCUUUUGUUGGGAAAGAAAAGCAGCAGGUUAAUACCCCGCUGUUCUGACGGUACCCAAAGAAUAAGCACCGGCUAACUUCGUG
rnacentral:rRNA from 1 species